AGCCUUUAACUGUGUGGCAUCAACGUGACUGCGCAGCCAAAUCCACAUUCAGACAGAAAUUAUUCAUUUCAAGAUGCAUUAGCAAAAUAAAAACCAAAGCC